GCUGACACCAGGGCUCGGGCGCUGGGGUCCCUCGCAUGGGAGGCUGCAAGAGGAAGGGUGUUGGCGACGGGGAAACUCCGGGAAGGGUGCAGAGCGGCAGGCCGGGCCAGGAUUGGGGUGGGAGGGACAGUUCCAGCCAAUGGGUGACCCUCUCCAUGUGGCCACACCCUGGGCCGAAGGCAGGCAGCAGUCUGUGGCUCACAGCCCUCUGGUUUGCCCAAACCCACUUACAGCCAGUACCUGGUGCCUUCCCCAGUUCUGCUCAUGAAAACAUGGAGAUUCUCACGUUGGCUAACAAGUAAAAUUAAACUACAUGCCGUCUACAAGAGACCUGCCUUCAACACGGGUGACAGAAAGGUCCUGGCACUGGAUCUCUGGGGUCGCUGCGCAGCAUGGAGGACGCGUCGGGGCAGUUAGAAAGUCGUGAGCAGGCCUCCACUGUGUUUCAGCUCCAGGCCCAGAAAAGCAGCAAAACCAGACAAGUCACUCCACAGCUGACUUGCGGCUCAGCUGUGAUGACCAAGGACCCCUGGUGCCAACCAGUCAGUGGAGACCGGACCCUGGAAGGACACACCUGGACAGCUGAUGACCAGUCUGUUGAGACCCUCCCCUGGGGUCACCCCUAAAAUCCACACCCUCAGGCCAGAGGGCCCAGAGUGGCCUCCCUCCCUACAGCGGUCAGGAGCCUCCCCCUCCCCACCCCACUAGCCAGGCGCCUUCGCCCUUCUCGCUCCCCAGCUCCCAGGGCCCUUCCUUGGCCUCUGUGACUUGUUGUCUGAGCCUGUUUCUUCUCCUCUGUGACUUUUAAAAUAAGCUUUCUCUUGUAGAUCGAGUCUUGGCUCUGAAUCCUCUCUUAGCCAGGGCUCCAGUGCCGAGGCUGCCCAACCGAGGUCGGACUUGACCCCCACCCCUGGUCUGACUCCUGGUGCCAUUCUCGCCUCACCAACAGAUGCACUAAAAACCGCUAAAAUGUUUACUGUAAGGUGGUAAAUUUUACGUGUAUUACAUCUCAACUGAAGAUAAAAACAAGAUAGCACAGGAGAGGGAAGUUAGUGGAGCCCACUGGUCACGGGAAGCUGAGGGCCAGCCCUGAGCAUGUGCACUGGAGCCCGGGAGAUGCAGACCUGGCAGAUGCCGCUGAAG